GAACAGCCAAAUGCAAUAAAAAGUAUUUUAAAUGAUUUAAAAAGCGAACUAGGCAAACUUAGCCCACGUGGGACCAAUAUAUAUAUUGACCAAUGUUUCAGAAACUAGAGAUUUAUCUUCUUCCAAGCAAAGAUUCAUUUGAGUAAUACAGAAUAAAUCUUCCAAAAGGUGGAGAAAAUGAGACAACAAGAGGAGAAGUGGUGGCUUGCCUAAAGUCAGUGACUGAUCAGGAUGAGAACUGGGUACCUGUUGCAUUGGCCCUUUC
rnacentral:lncRNA from 1 species